rnacentral:rRNA from 1 species
CCAAUAGCGUAUAUUAAAGUUGUUGCAGUUAAAAAGCUCGUAGUUGAAUUUCGGGGUCAGUAGGUCGGUCGUGCCACUGGUAUGAACUGGUUUUACUGAUUCCUCCCUCUUGAAGAACUAUAAUGUCAUUAAUUUGGUGUUGUAGGGAAUCAGGACUGUUACUUUGAAAAAAUUAGAGUGUUUAAGGCAGGCUUUAGCUUGAAUACAUUAGCAUGGAAUAAUGAAAUAGGACGUUUGAUCCUAUUUUGUUGGUUUCUAGGAUUGACGUAAUGAUUAAUAGGGAUAGUUGGGGGCAUUAGUAUUCAAUUGUCAGAGGUGAAAUUCUUGGAUUUAUUGAAGACUAACUACUGCGAAAGCAUUUGCCAAGGAUGUUUUCAUUAAUCAAGAACGAAAGUUAGGGGAUCGAAGACGAUCAGAUACCGUCGUAGUCUUAACCAUAAACUAUGCCGACUAGGGAUCGGAUGAUGUUAAUUUUUUAAUGACUCA